rnacentral:rRNA from 1 species
GCAUGGAUGAAGAACGCAGCGAAACGCGAUAUGUAGUGUGAAUUGCAGAAUUCAGUGAAUCAUCGAAUCUUUGAACGCACAUUGCGCCUUCCAGUAUCAUGGGAGGCAUGCCUGUCCGAGCGUCGUUUCAACCCUCGAGCCCCCGUGGCCCGGUGUUGGGGACGCUGGCCAGCUACCUGGGCAGCCCCCCUAAAUGCAGUGGCGGUCCCGCAAGUCCCAGCCCUUUGCGUAGUAAUAUCAUUCUCGCUCUGGACGGCUCGCGGGCUUACCAGCCUCGAAACCCCCUACAAAGACCGCCCCGGCGGCAACGGUUGACCUCGGAUCAGGUAGGAAUACCCGCUGAACUUAAGCAUAUCAAUAAGCGGAGGA